AAAACUAGACGUCAGAUCAGGGUUUUAAAGAAAAUUAAGGAUGAAGGGUGACUUAAACGGAAAGAAAGGUCUUGAAUUGGUGUUUAUGACUAGUAAAGAAUAAUGAAAUAAACGACAGGAAUUAUAAAGGAUUUAAAAUGGUAAAGUAAAGUUUGCAAGUACUGGAAUCUUAAAACUGUAAAGUAAACGUUGAAUAUAGGGAAAGGAACAAA
rnacentral:lncRNA from 1 species